rnacentral:lncRNA from 1 species
UUGGCAUGGAUCUGGCUGGCUCCGACAAAACAGGAUCCAAUGACUGAAAUCCAAGCAUGAGACAUCAGUGUUGUUUGUGGACAAGAGGAUGGACUCUUGGACUUUUUUUCCUGGAUAUUUUAUAAGAAAGCCUAGGCAGCCAUCCAGAAAAAGGAGACAAAAGCUGGCAUUUACGUGGGCAGCCAAUAAACGGGACCCUGGCAAAAGGUGUCAGACCUGCAUUGGAAAAUGCGUUUGUCUCUUGUAUUGGCUACUCUGGUCUGUAACAUCGGGUUGUGAGUGUGCAAAUGCCAUGGUUGAAGCAUGCCAAUUAAAUUUUUUAUACAAAUAAUUUAUUUAUAAUAAAGGAAUGUUUUUGAAAUGUGGAGGGUUCUUGGGUGUUUGGAUGUAAUUCACAGUACACUUUUAAAAAUUACGGUUCUAAAAGGGGGUUUUCAUAGCGAUGCGACAGAAGAACCAUCUUUGGUUCCCAAAGAACCUUUCAGUGAAAAGUUAUUUUCUUAGUGUGAAAACGUUUUAAACAGUUUGAGAACCAUUUUUCUACUAUAAAGAAUCUUUUGCACAUUGGAAAGAUUCCAUGGAUGUUAAACAUUCUUCAUGGAACUAUCAAUGGCAAUAAAGAACCUUUAAUUUUAAGAGUGUAGGGCUGUAACUAAUGAUUAUUUUUGAUAAUCAAUAAUAUAUUGAUUAUCUGUCAAUUAUUAAAUUAAUUAUUUAAAAGUUAAAUUUAAAGGGGUCAUAUGAUGCGAUUCCAUGUUUUCCUUUCUCUGUGGAGUGUUACAAGCUGUUUGUGCAUAGAUACGACCCUUAUAGAUGCAAAGACUAAGGUCUUAAACCCAAAGAGAUAUUCUUUAUAAAAGUUAAGACUCAUCCACGCCCUCCUAAAAGGCCUCAUUUAAACAGAGACGCUGUGUGUUUCGUUGUGAAAACAAAACUACUUUGUUUGGUCUUCCAAAGGAGGACACAUCUAGAAAUCAGUGGUUAAGUUCUAUUUACAACACUGUUCCAGAACAGUUCAAACCAAAUAUUCAGAUGUGUGCAACGCAUUUUACAGAGGACGAGGACUGUUUCCUGG